rnacentral:rRNA from 1 species
GGCCAGACUCCUACGGGAGGCAGCAGUGGGGAAUAUUGCACAAUGGGCGAAAGCCUGAUGCAGCAACGCCGCGUGAAGGAAGAAGGGUUUCGGCUCGUAAACUUCUAUCAACAGGGACGAAAGAAAUGACGGUACCUGAAUAAGAAGCCCCGGCUAAAUACGUGCCAGCAGCCGCGGUAAUACGUAUGGUGCAAGCGUUAUCCGGAUUUACUGGGCGUAAAGGGAGCGCAGGCGGCGCGCCAAGUCUGAUGUGAAACCCCGGGGCUCAACCCCGGGCAUGCAUUGGAAACUGGCGGGCUGGAGUGCAGGAGGGGCAGGCGGAAUUCCUGGUGUAGCGGUGAAAUGCGUAGAUAUCAGGAGGAACACCGGUGGCGAAGGCGGCCUGCUGGACUGCAACUGACGUUGAGGCCCGAAAGCGUGGGGAGCAAACAGGAUUAGAUACCCGAGUACA